UCCUACGGGACGCAGCAGUGAGGAAUAUUGGUCAAUGGGCGGGAGCCUGAACCAGCCAAGUCGCGUGAGGGACGACGGUCCUAUGGAUUGUAAACCUCUUUUGUCGGGGAACAAAGGCGCCCACGGGUGGGCGGAUGAGUGUACCCGAAGAAAAAGCAUCGGCUAACUCCGUGCCAGCAGCCGCGGUAAUACGGAGGAUGCGAGCGUUAUCCGGAUUUAUUGGGUUUAAAGGGUGCGUAGGCGGGACGGUAAGUCAGCGGUAAAAAUGCGGAGCUCAACUCCGUCGAGCCGUUGAAACUGCCGUU
rnacentral:rRNA from 1 species